GUGGGGAAUCUUGCGCAAUGGGCGAAAGCCUGACGCAGCCAUGCCGCGUGAAUGAUGAAGGUCUUAGGAUUGUAAAAUUCUUUCACCGGGGAGGAUAAUGACGGUACCCGGAGAAGAAGCUCCGGCUAACUUCGUGCCAGCAGCCGCGGUAAUACGAAGGGGGCUAGCGUUGCUCGGAAUUACUGGGCGUAAAGGGCGCGUAGGCGGACAGCUUAGUCAGAGGUGAAAGCCCAGGGCUCAACCUUGGAAUUGCCUUUGAUACUGGCUGUCUUGAGUUUGGGAGAGGUGAGUGGAACUCCGAGUGUAGAGGUGAAAUUCGUAGAUAUUCGGAAGAACACCAGUGGCGAAGGCGACUCACUGGCCCAAUACUGACGCUGAGGCGCGAAAGCGUGGGGAGCAAACAGGAUUAGAUACCCUUGUAGUCC
rnacentral:rRNA from 1 species